GUUGUAUGGUUAAGUGACUAAGCGUACAUGGUGGAUGCCUUGGCAGUCAGAGGCGAUGAAGGACGUACUAACCUGCGAUAAGCCGUGAGCAGUCGGUAAGAGACAUUACGACUCACGGAUUUCCGAAUGGGGAAACCCACUUAGCAUAAGCUAGGUAUCGCUACGUGAAUACAUAGCGUAGCGAGGCGAACCGGGAGAACUGAAACAUCUAAGUACCCCGAGGAAAAGAAAUCAACCGAGAUUCCCUCAGUAGCGGCGAGCGAACGGGGAUUAGCCCUUAAGCAUCUUGGAAGUUAGUGGAACGGUCCUGGAAAGGCCGGCGAUACAGGGUGAUAGCCCCGUACACGAAAACAACCUUGAUGUGAAAUCGAGUAGGGCGGGACACGUGACAUCCUGUCUGAAUAUGGGGGACCAUCCUCCAAGGCUAAAUACUCCUGACUGACCGAUAGUGAACCAGUACCGUGAGGGAAAGGCGAAAAGAACCCCUGUGAGGGGAGUGAAAUAGAACCUGAAACCGUGUACGUACAAGCAGUGGGAGCCCUUCGGGGUGACUGCGUACCUUUUGUAUAAUGGGUCAGCGACUUACAUUUUGUAGCGAGGUUAACCGUAUAGGGGAGCCGUAGGGAAACCGAGUCUUAACUGGGCGUCUAGUUGCAAGGUGUAGACCCGAAACCGGGUGAUCUAGCCAUGGGCAGGUUGAAGGUUGAGUAACAUCAACUGGAGGACCGAACCCACUAACGUUGCAAAGUUAGGGGAUGACCUGUGGCUGGGGGUGAAAGGCCAAUCAAACUCGGAGAUAGCUGGUUCUCCCCGAAAGCUAUUUAGGUAGCGCCUCGGACGAAUACUACUGGGGGUAGAGCACUGUUUGGGCUAGGGGGUCAUCCCGACUUACCAACCCCAUGCAAACUCCGAAUACCAGUAAGUAAUAUCCGGGAGACACACGGCGGGUGCUAACGUCCGUCGUGAAGAGGGAAACAACCCAGACCGCCGGCUAAGGUCCCAAAGUUCUGGUUAAGUGGGAAACGAUGUGGGAAGGCUCAGACAGCUAGGAUGUUGGCUUAGAAGCAGCCAUCAUUUAAAGAAAGCGUAAUAGCUCACUAGUCGAGUCGGCCUGCGCGGAAGAUGUAACGGGGCUCAAACCAGGCACCGAAGCCGCGGAUUCACGCUAAGCGUGAGUGGUAGGGGAGCGUUCUGUAAGUCUGCGAAGGUGUGUCGAGAGGCAUGCUGGAGAUAUCAGAAGUGCGAAUGCUGACGUAAGUAACGAUAAAGGGGGUGAAAAGCCUCCUCGCCGGAAGACCAAGGGUUCCUGUCCAACGUUAAUCGGGGCAGGGUGAGUCGACCCCUAAGGCGAGGCCGAAAGGCGUAGUCGAUGGGAAGCAGGUUAAUAUUCCUGCACGACUUGUAAUUGCGAUGGGGGACGGAGAAGGCUAGGUGGGCCAGGCGACGGUUGUCCUGGUGAAAGUGCGUAGGUGGUGUUUCUAGGCAAAUCCGGAGACACAACACUGAGACACGAGACGAACACACUACGGUGUGGAAGCCAUUGAUGCCCUGCUUCCAGGAAAAGCCUCUAAGCUUCAGAUUACAAGUCAUCGUACCCCAAACCGACACAGGUGGUCGGGUAGAGAAUACCAAGGCGCUUGAGAGAACUCGGGUGAAGGAACUAGGCAAAAUAGAACCGUAACUUCGGGAGAAGGUUCGCUCUUGACAGUGAAGUCCCUUGCGGAUGGAGCAGUUGGGAGUCGCAGUGACCAGAUGGCUGGGACUGUUUAUCAAAAACACAGCACUCUGCAAACACGAAAGUGGACGUAUAGGGUGUGACACCUGCCCGGUGCCGGAAGGUUAAUUGAUGGGGUUAGCGCAAGCGAAGCUCUUGAUCGAAGCCCCGGUAAACGGCGGCCGUAACUAUAACGGUCCUAAGGUAGCGAAAUUCCUUGUCGGGUAAGUUCCGACCUGCACGAAUGGUGUAACCAUGGCCAUGCUGUCUCCACCCGAGACUCAGUGAAAUCGAAUUCGCCGUGAAGAUGCGGUGUACCCGCGGCUAGACGGAAAGACCCCGUGAACCUUUACUACAGCUUGGCACUGAACAUUGAACCUACAUGUGUAGGAUAGGUGGGAGGCUUUGAAGGCGUGACGCCAGUUGCGCUGGAGCCGUCCUUGAAAUACCACCCUUGUAUGUUUGAUGUUCUAACGCAGGCCCAUGAAUCUGGGUCGCGGACAGUGCCUGGUGGGUAGUUUGACUGGGGCGGUCUCCUCCCAAAGAGUAACGGAGGAGCACGAAGGUUGGCUAAUCCUGGUCGGACAUCAGGAGGUUAGUGCAAUGGCAUAAGCCAGCUUAACUGCGAGACGGACAGGUCGAGCAGGUACGAAAGUAGGUCAUAGUGAUCCGGUGGUUCUGAAUGGAAGGGCCAUCGCUCAACGGAUAAAAGGUACUCCGGGGAUAACAGGCUGAUACCGCCCAAGAGUUCAUAUCGACGGCGGUGUUUGGCACCUCGAUGUCGGCUCAUCACAUCCUGGGGCUGAAGUCGGUCCCAAGGGUAUGGCUGUUCGCCAUUUAAAGUGGUACGCGAGCUGGGUUCAGAACGUCGUGAGACAGUUCGGUCCCUAUCUGCCGUGGGCGUUGGAUGAUUGAAGGGAGUUGCUCCUAGUACGAGAGGACCGGAGUGAACGAACCUCUGGUGUUCGGUUGUCACGCCAGUGGCACUGCCCGGUAGCUAAGUUCGGAAUCGAUAACCGCUGAAAGCAUCUAAGCGGGAAGCGAGCCCUGAGAUGAGUCAUCCCUGACCCCUUGAGGGUCCUAAAGGGCCGUUGGAGACCACAACGUUGAUAGGUGGGGUGUGUAAGCGCGGCGACGUGUUGAGCUAACCCAUACUAAUUACCCGUGAGGCUUAACCAUACAACACCCAAGAAGUGUUCU
rnacentral:rRNA from 1 species